CUCGAGGCCAGAUCUUUCCGGUUGAUCCCGCCGGACCUGACUGCUAUCGGAUUGAUACUAAGCCAUGCGAGUCUUUGUAGCAAUACAAGGCAGACGGCUCAGUAACACGUAGUCAAUCUACCCUAUGGACGGGGAUAACCUCGGGAAACUGAGAAUAAUACCCGAUAGAUCAUUAUGCCUGGAAUGGUUUAUGGUCGAAAUGAUUUAUCGCCGUAGGAUGGGACUGCGGUCUAUCAGCUUGUUGGUGAGGUAAUGGCCCACCAAGGCUAUAACAGAUACGGGCUCUGAGAGGAGAAGCCCGGAGAUGGGUACUGAGACACGGACCCAGGCCCUAUGGGGCGCAGCAGGCGAGAAAACUUUGCAAUGUGCGAAAGCACGACAAGGUUAAUCCGAGUGUUUUCUGCUAAAGAAAUCUUUUGUCAGUCCUAAAAACACUGAUGAAUAAGGGGUGGGCAAGUUCUGGUGUCAGCAGCCGCGGUAAAACCAGCACCUCAAGUGGUCAGGAGGAUUAUUGGGCCUAAAGCAUCCGUAGCCGGCCGUGUAAGUUUUCGGUUAAA
rnacentral:rRNA from 1 species